rnacentral:rRNA from 1 species
GACGAACGCUGGCGGCGUGCUUAACACAUGCAAGUCGAACGGAAAGGCCCUGCUUUUGUGGGGUGCUCGAGUGGCGAACGGGUGAGUAACACGUGAGUAACCUGCCCUUGACUUUGGGAUAACUUCAGGAAACUGGGGCUAAUACCGGAUAGGAGCUCCUGCUGCAUGGUGGGGGUUGGAAAGUUUCGGCGGUUAGGGAUGGACUCGCGGCUUAUCGGCUUGUUGGUGGGGUAGUGGCUUACCAAGGCUUUGACGGGUAGCCGGCCUGAGAGGGUGACCGGCCACAUUGGGCCUGAGAUACGGCCCAGACUCCUACGGGAGGCAGCAGUGGGGAAUAUUGCACAAUGGGCGGAAGCCUGAUGCAGCAACGCCGCGUGCGGGAUGACGGCCUUCGGGUUGUAAACCGCUUUCGCCUGUGACGAAGCGUUAGUGACGGUAAUGGGUAAAGAAGCACCGGCUAACUACGUG